UGUGAAGGGUUUUGAGCAUUCUAACACUUCCUAAGUGUACAUGCAACCCUAAUAACCUUGGAUCUAUGUUUGUCUAAUUAUCAUGCAAAGUUGAAUUCCAAGGUUAUAUUCCUAUCUAGCAUACAUGGGGAACAAUUUUAACUUGAAUCAUAGAUAGAAUAACUUACCUUGUUGUUGCUUGUGUUCCUUGAAACCUUGUGAGCCUAGCACCCCAAGUGUGAUGCCUCAAAUGCUUCACACAACACCAAAUGCUCUUGGAAAGACUCUUGAGAUAACACACACUUCUCAAAAUCGGCCAAGCCCUCUAGUUUCUUAGUGUUCAACUUGUGUAGCCAAUUUUGUGGAGAAUGGGACUCUUAUAUAGUGUUGACACAUCUAGGGUUACACCAUGUAAACCCUAAUGUGUCAUGACUCUUCAUUUCCAUGACCCAUGGGUUUGUAACUCCCAUGGAGCAUCCAUGGAGCAUCCUAUGGGUAGAACCCAACUUGAUAAUCCAUGGAGCCUCUUAGCCCACUAUACAAGAUAUAGAUGAUUUACAUAAUCAACCCAUAUAUUUAAUUAGUUAUCCUUUGAUCACUUAAUUAAUUCCAAAUUAAUUCUUUGAUCAAACUAAUCAAAUAAUAUUAUUAAUAUAUUAGAACUUAUAAUAUAUUAAUAAUCUCCAAGUGUUAUUUCUCUCAUUUAGUCUAUCCAAUUGCAUGGUGCCAUGCAACCCAAAUGGACCAUGCCGGGUCGGGUCAAGUACAAGCCCGAAAUAGUUAUGGACUUAGACACCUUAUCCAACAGUCUCCCACUUGGAUAAGUCUAAUAACUAUAUCUCUAGUACUUCAGGAACCGACCGGCAAUCGUAGCUCUUUCAAGGUCUCUCGGAACUGAGAAGAUGAUGGUACGCCAUUUAAGAUAAGUGAUCAUAUAAUCCUCCGUUCUAGAUAUCAGCCGGACAAAUACAUGGAACAUUGUCUUGCUUAUUGUCCAGCAUUUGUUUCCCGAUUUCCGAUUUGUUUGACAUAGAACUUAAUUGAACACAUCAACUUAGUUCUGACCGGGCCCGGUACAUGGGUCAAAACAAAAUCAUCGAGGGGCCCAGAUAUCAGCUUCUAAUCCAAGAAGGAACAGAUAAACUUCGACUCAUAUGUUUGUUCUACCACUCAUUGAAUUACACACAAAAGUACGUUUUAUAACAUCGAGUUACCAAUGCGGUUUCGUACAGUCAAUGCAUAACCAACUUGUAAGUAACAAAUCAUAUCUCUAGGUUUGAAGACUUAUAUGAUAUUACCGUCUCACGAUCACUCGAGAUAGAAUUCCAUGAAGUGAUUCCAGUGAGCGUGGGUUGAGUCCAAUGCUCAGAACUUAUGAGCACUCAUGAUUGUUGUAGCCUUGUCCAACACCUUAGACCUCUACAACCCAUCAUGACAGUCUUGAUUCAUACCUACUUCCGACAUAUGACCGACUGUGGAGGUUUGAAUAAUAUGUUACACCAAACAAAAUUAUUCUGGAAGUCAAAACAUGCAAAAGAAAUAUAGUAAACGAUUGACAAGAGAUAGCAACACUUUACUCAUAAAUAAAACACCUUUUAUUCAUCAUCAAAUGUCAAUUACACUUUACAAAUUUCUGGGUUAUCUAACUACUAAAACUUAUAUCAUCCUUCAGCCCUAUGCUCCGAGCAUGCUGGAGAUGCUUAACCCUACUCAGUCCCUUCGUGAGGGGAUCUGCUGGGUUCUCAUCCGAUGAUACCCUCUUUGCCACGAGGAGUCCUUCUUCGAUCCGAUGUCUAAUGAAAUGGUAUUUUCUGUCGAUGUGUCUGGAUCUCCCAUGAUCCCUUGGUUCCUUGGCUAAGGCAACAGCACUUUCACUAUCACAGAAAAUUUCCAUUGGCUCUUUAAUAGCUGGUACAACUCCAAGGUCUCCAAUGAAGUUCUUCAGCCAUAUCGCCUCCUUUGCUGCUUCGCUAGCUGCAAUAUACUCUGAUUCACAAGUAGAAUCUGCCACUGUCUCUUGCUUGGAACUCUUCCAAGAAAUUGCUCCUCCGUUUAGGGUAAAGACCCAGCCCGACUGAGAGCGGAAAUUAUCCCUAUCAGUCUGGAAGCUAGCAUCACUAUACCCUACAACUCUCAAGUCAUCACUCCCACCGAGGGUAAGGACCCAGUCCUUAGUCCUCCGUAGGUACUUGAGGAUAUUCUUUACCGCAGUCCAGUGUGCCUUGCCAGGGUUCGCCUGAUACCUGCUAACCAUGCUCAAGGCAAAAGCUACAUCGGGUCGAGUACACGUCAUAGCAUACAUGAUCGAUCCUACAGCCGAAGCGUAAGGUGUUCGACUCAUUUCUGCUAUCUCAGCCUCAGUGCUAGGGCUUUGUGUCUUACUCAAUCUGGUGUUACUCUGGAUGGGUAACUCUCCUUUCUUGGAAUCCUGCAUGCUGAAUCUCUUCAGCACCUUAUCCAAGUAGGUACUCUGACUAAGUCCAAUUAGUCUUUUACUCCGAUCUCUCAAGAUUCUUAUCCCUAGAAUAUAGGCAGCUUCACCAAGGUCCUUCAUAGCGAAACACUUCCCAAGCCAGGACUUUACUUCCUGCAGGGUUGGAAUGUCGUUUCCUAUGAGUAGUAUGUCAUCCACAUACAAUACCAAAAAGCUAACUAUACUCCCACUAGCCUUGACAUACACACAAGAUUCAUCUUCACUCCUAGAAAAGCCAAAUUCCUUGACCUUUUCAUCAAAGCAAAGAUUCCAUCUGCGAGGUGCUUGCUUCAAUCCAUAAAUGGAUUUCUCAAGCUUACACACUCUAUUAGGGUACUCGUUGCUGACAAAACCCUCUGGCUGACUCAUGUAAACAUCUUCAGCCAACUUUCCAUUAAGGAAAGCGGUUUUGACAUCCAUCUGCCAUAUUUCAUAGUCAUGAAAUGCAGCUAUGGCUAACAGAACCCGAAUAGACUUAAUCUUGGCUACCGGAGAAAAGGUCUCAUCAUAAUCCACUCCAGGAAUUUGAGAGAAGCCCUUUGCAACCAGUCUAGCCUUAUAAGUGUGUACUUUACCAUCCAUGUCGGUCUUCUUCUUGAAGACCCAUUUGCACCCUACUGUCUUACGACCUGGUACAUUUUCAACCAAGUUCCAAACUUGAUUGUCAUACAUGGAUUGUAUCUCGCUAUCCAUAGCCUCUUUCCAUUUAGCAGACUCGGGGCCUGCCAUGGCUUCCUCGUAGCUGUUAGGGUCAUCUUGACUUACUAGUGUCUCAUCACUAAUAAGUGUCUCACCUUCUGCAGUAAUAUGGAAUCCAUAGUAAUGCUCAGGUGCACUCCUAACUCUCGUGGAACGUCUCAGAGGUACAGAUUUGUCAAUUGGCUCAACAGGAGUUUCCUCCUCAAGUUGAGGGCUAGAGUUUGAAGUUCCUUCACCGCUUGAUUCUUGAAUUUCUUCAAGAUCAAUUUGCCUCCCACUGUCUCCUUGGCUUAUAAACUCUCUUUCUCGAAAGACUCCUCUUCUUGCUACAAAGACCACAUUGUCACUAGGUCUGUAGAAGAGGUAACCAAAGGAUCGCUGUGGGUAACCGAUGAAAAUACACCUCUCGCUUCGAGGUUCGAGCUUAUCAUGAGUCUCGCGUCUCACGAAAGCCUCGCAACCCCAAAUCUUGAUGUGGUCUAGUUUAGGUACUUUACCAGUCCACAUCUCGUGAGGAGUUUUGGCAACUUUCUUUGUAGGGACUAGAUUAAGAAUAUGGGCGGCAGUCUCUAAGGCAUACCCCCAGAAUGAGAUUGGUAGCGUAGCUCGACUCAUCAUGGAACGAACCAUAUCUAACAAGGUUCGAUUACGCCUCUCAGCCACACCAUUCAACUGUGGUGUCCUGGGAGGUGUCAAUUGUGAGACUAUCCCACAUUCCCUUAGAUAGUCGAGGAACUCUGAACUAAGAUACUCACCACCACGAUCGGAUCGAAGCAUCUUAAUGUUCCUGCCCAAUUGAUUCUCGACUUCCUGUUUAAAUUCCUUAAACCUCUCGAAAGUCUCUGACUUAUGCUUGAUCAAGUAGACAUAUCCAUAUCUACUAUAAUCAUCAGUAAAAGUCAAAUAAUAACGAUUAGCAUCCCUUGUGGCAUGUUUGAAUGGUCCACACACAUCCGUGUGUAUAAGGUCCAACAAACCUUCACCCCUCUCACACGAACCUGUGAAGGGUGACUUUGUCAUUUUUCCAAGUAAGCAUGAUUCGCAACUAUCAUCUGACUUUAGGUCAAACGACUCCAAGACUCCAUCCUUUUGGAGUUGGCCUAUGCGUUUCUUGCUUAUAUGUCCAAGACGACAAUGCCAUAAAGAUGCUUUAUCCAAGUUAUUAUUAGUAGAAUCAAUACACAAAACAUUAUUUCCCAAGUUAUCUACAACAGAUACAGCUUCAUACACACCAUCACAAGGUAAUGCUUUAAAAUAAAAGACAUUAUUAUAGAAAACAUCUAUAGAACCAACUUCAUUAUUAAAUGAAAAGGUAAACCCUUGUUUGUACAAAGCAUGAAAGGAAAUAAUAUUUCUUGCCAUUCCUGGCGAAUAACAACACUUAUUCAAAUCUAAACUAAACCCACUACUUAGCGAUAAAGUAUAAACUCCAAUCUUGGUAACAGGUAUAGCUUUCCUAUUCCCCAUGAUCAAGUUUAUCCUUCCUUGCUCCACAUCCUCACUUCUUCUUAGUCCCUGCAAGUCACAACAAAUGUGAAUACCACACCCGGUAUCAAGGACCCAAGAAUUAGAAUGGGGUGAGUUAUUAGAAAUGAUAGUGUAAAUACCUGCAUGGUUGGGUUUAACUUUCCCAUCCUUCACAUCUUGCUGGUAUUUUGGGCAGUUCCGCUUCCAAUGAGCUUUUUCAUGGCAAUAGAAGCAUUCAGCCUCUUUUGGGUCAGAAGAAGGAGUAAUGAAACCUUUCUUGGUUCCACUUGAAGAAGAGCCAUCAAGGGUCCGAACCUUGGUACCCUUAGAAGAGCUCUUUCUCUUCCUCCCUCGACUUUUCCCGAUUGCCAAAACCGGAGUAGAGUUUUGAGUAGGAGUGAUAGCAACCGACUUCCCCUUAAGACCUGAUUCUGCGGUCUUGAGAAGUCCCUGAAGUUUGCUGAGGGUGACUUCUUCCUUGUUCAUGUGAUAUGUCAUGCGGAAUUGAUCAUAGCACGAUGGUAAGGAAUGCAAAAUAAUAUCUAUUGCAAGAUCCUCCGGGAAGUUCACAUUAAGCUUCAGCAAACGAUCCACAUACCUUUGCAUUUUCUGCAUGUGGCUCGUGACGGAUUCCCCGUCCUUCAUCAUGGUUGUUAUCAUGGAGCAGAUGAUUUCAUACCUCUCUUGUCUUGCACUUUGAUGGUAUCUUUCCAUCAAAUCUUGGUGCAUUUCAUAAGGGUAGAAAUCCUCAUAAGACUUUUGGAGUUCCGCUGUCAUCGUGGCCAUCAUGAUGCAAGCCACUUUCGUAGCAUCCCUUUCAUGUGCCCGAAAUUCAGCGAUCUCCUGAGGAGUUGCAGUGGACUCAUCAAUCUCCUUAAGCUCCUUGUCAAGGACAUAUUCUUUGUCCUCGUAGCGGGUAAUCAUCCUGAUGUUUCUGAUCCACUCAUUGAAGUUGGAUCCAUCAAAGGUGACUUUCCCACACAAGUUCAUAAGGGUAAAGGAGCCAUUAGGAUUAGAGCCAGAAGCAUUGUUGAAAGACAUCUGAAGGAAAGAGGACAAGAUUAGUUUAGAUAUAAGAGAGUCCUUAAUAAAACACCCAAAUGUAAUAUUAAGGCUAGGAUCCAAUCACAAUAUAAUAUAACUUAGAAGAGGUAUGCCGUAAUCUAAGCUAUAUCAUAUUUGAAAGGUAGGUGAAUGACGAUUCACCAAUUUCCACCACGAAAACCGCAAUAUUUUAGUAUUAGGUUUUUGAAUGGUUCUUAGAAAUUCCUAGAUUCUUUGAGAUUCAAUGAACUUUUCAAAGGCAUGUUUCAAUCUCGAGUGUGCCCUCCAAGUUUUGUGACUGGGAUACCGAGGAUCACAAAACGAGGUGUGAAGUAACCAUGCAAAUCACUUGGUACCCUUAAAGUUUAUCACUCAAUCGAUGUGCCGGUUAACCACACACGCUCCAUCGAUACUAUAAUAAACCCUAAGUCACCCUUUACCUACCUUGUUAAGUCCAAGUUAGUGUGCCGGUUAACCACACACGCUCCACCAACGACUUAAUCAAAGUGUAAAGUGUAAUUUCAUGGAAUAGCACCUUAUUCACAUUUUUCCUAAAGUAACUAAGAUUGGGAAUUUAAUAAAACAUUUAGUUACUUUAUAAUAUUCAUCAUACUUUGAAUGAGAAUUAAUAAGUCCUUGUCUUACCCGUUCGGCUAACGACCCUCCACCGAUCAAGCAAGCGGUGGGUGAGAGUGGACACCCAUUAAGUCACCAUUUUAUAGGCAACAACCUUAUACCCACCUUAUAGACCGGCUUCGUGAAUGAGGCGUACUAGCGGUAAGACGACUUUGUUCUUAUACAUAUAUAUAUAAUUAUUAAAUCAUAAUAAUAUAAGUAUAAGGGUUGAAUUUUAACUUUUAAAAUUCUAGGGGUUGGAACUAAAGUUUUAACUUAACUUUACUUGUUCCAAAACUUGAGGGCAAGUUUUGUAAACUUUCAAAACUUUUCAUUUCUUGUAACUUAUGAGUUUAAUAGAGUAAUAAAAUGAGGACUUUUCAUUUUUCCUAACUCUUGUGUUCUUUUAAUGGUUUUUAAUCCAAGAGACUUUUGGUUUUCCAUAACUUGAGGACAAGUUAUGGACUCCAUUAAAACACAUUAUGAUCAUGAAUUAAUCUACCACAUAGGUUACAAAUAAUUCCUAUGAUCAUCUAAACAUCAUAAGAACAAGAAUAUGAAUAUGAACACUUUCAAGAAUCAAAAUCACAUUUAAUCUUUGUAAUUUUGAUAACUAGUUGUUGUAAAUGAGUUAGAAAAGACAUUACACCUUCUAAAAUAAGUUUUCAAGUACCAAAACAUUUUAGGGUAAUGAUUCUAAUCCAUUUCCAGCAACUCAAGUCGAAAUUCUGCACUCUGUCGACCCUACUCGCCGAGUGCAUAAACCUACUCGCCGAGUAGGUUGAAGAUACACAUGAACUCGACGAGUCCUCCCCAUGGACUCGCCGAGUCCAUCAGUCAGACAGCAAGAUUUUCGACUUUCUUCAACUUUUAAGCACAAAUAACAAACAAACAAGCCUAGGCUCUGAUACCACUGAUGGGUUUUGAGCAUUCUAACACUUCCUAAGUGUACAUGCAACCCUAAUAACCUUGGAUCUAUGUUUGUCUAAUUAUCAUGCAAAGUUGAAUUCCAAGGUUAUAUUCCUAUCUAGCAUACAUGGGGAACAAUUUUAACUUGAAUCAUAGAUAGAAUAACUUACCUUGUUGUUGCUUGUGUUCCUUGAAACCUUGUGAGCCUAGCACCCUAAGUGUGAUGCCUCAAAUGCUUCACACAACACCAAAUGCUCUUGGAAAGACUCUUGAGAUAACACACACUUCUCAAAAUCGGCCAAGCCCUCUAGUUUCUUAGUGUUCAACUUGUGUAGCCA
rnacentral:lncRNA from 1 species